GCCGGUAGCUCAGCCUGGUAGAGCACUCGACUUUUAAUCGAGUGGUCGCGGGUUCGAACCCCGUCCGGCCUACCA
rnacentral:tRNA from 1 species